rnacentral:rRNA from 1 species
GUGAGGAAUAUUGGGCAAUGGGGGAAACCCUGACCCAGCGACGCCGCGUGAGGGAAGAAGGUCUUCGGAUUGUAAACCUCUGUCUUCGGGGACGAUAAUGACGGUACCCGGGGAGGAAGCCACGGCUAACUACGUGCCAGCAGCCGCGGUAAAACGUAGGUGGCAAGCGUUGUCCGGAAUUACUGGGUGUAAAGGGAGCGCAGGUGGGGCUGUAAGUCGAAUGUGAAAUCUAUGGGCUCAACUCAUAAAUUGCGUUCGAUACUAUAGUUCUUGAGUGGAGUAGAGGCAGGCGGAAUUCCCGGUGUAGCGGUGGAAUGCGUAGAUAUCGGGAGGAACACCAGUGGCGAAGGCGGCCUGCUGGGCUUUAACUGACACUGAGGCUCGAAAGCGUGGGUAGCAAACAGGAUUAGAUACCCGGGUAGUCC